rnacentral:rRNA from 1 species
UACGUAGGUGACAAGCGUUAUCCGGAUUUAUUGGGCGUAAAGCGCACGCAGGCGGUCUAUCAAGUCUGACGUGAAAUCUCUCGGCUUAACCGGGAGCGGUCGUUGGAAACUGAUGGACUUGAGGCGAUGAGAGGGGUGUGGAAUUCCCGGUGUAGUGGUGGAAUGCGCAGAUAUCAGGAGGAACACCGGUGGCGAAGGCGGGUCUCUGGGCAGUGAACUGACGCUGAGGAGCGAAAGCGUGGGGAGCGAACAGG